rnacentral:rRNA from 1 species
UGGAAAGUUAAAAAUCGUAACAAGGUUUCCGUGAGGUGAACCUGCGGAAGGAUCAUUAAUGAAUUCUGAGAGGGGUUGUAGCUGGCCGUUUCGUUUGAGCGGCAUGUGCACGCCCUGAUCAUUAUCCAUCUCACACACCUGUGCACAUACUGUAGGUCGGCUUUUGAUUGGAGUGGGGUCUUCAUCGACUCUGCUUUUUAGUUGGGGCCUUCCUAUGUUUUAUCACACACUACUUCAGUUUAAAGAAUGUCCUCUUGCGUCUAACGCAUUUAAAUACAACUUUCAGCAACGGAUCUCUUGGCUCUCGCAUCGAUGAAGAACGCAGCGAAAUGCGAUAAGUAAUGUGAAUUGCAGAAUUCAGUGAAUCAUCGAAUCUUUGAACGCACCUUGCGCUCCUUGGUAUUCCGAGGAGCAUGCCUGUUUGAGUGUCAUGGAAUUCUCAACUCUAUUUGCUUUUGUGAAUAGAGCUUGGACUUGGAGGUUUAUUGCCGGUACCUGUGAUCGGCUCCUCUUGAAUGCAUUAGCUCGAACCUUUUGUGGAUCAGCUUAUCGGUGUGAUAAAAUGUCUACGCCGUUACUGUGAAGCAUAUUAUUCGGCUUCCAAUCGUCCUUCACGGGACAAUAACUUUGACCUUUGACCUCAAAUCAGGUAGGAUUACCCGCUGAACUUAAGCAUAUCAAA